GCCAGGUGCAGUGGCACGUGCCUGUAGUGCCAGCUACUCGGGAGGCUAAGGCUGGUGGAUUGCUUGAGCUCAGGAGUUCUGGGCUGUAGUGCACUAUGCCGAUUGGGUGUCCACACUAAGUUUGGCAUCAAUAUGGUGAUCUCCCGGGAGCUGGGGACCACCAGGUUGCCUAAGGAGGUGAACCGGACCAGGUCAGAAAUGGAGCAGGUCAAAACUCCCGUGCUGAUCAGUAGUGGGAUCUCGCCUGUGAAUAGCCACUGCACUCCAGCCUGGGCAACAUAGCUAGAUUCUGUCUCU
rnacentral:SRP_RNA from 1 species